ACCAAGGAGUCUAACAUCUAUGCGAGUGUUUGGGUGUCAAGCCCGAGCGCGUAAUGAAAGUGAACGGAGGUGGGAACCCGCAAGGGUGCACCAUCGACCGAUCCUGAAGUUUACGGAAGGAUUUGAGUAAGAGCAUGGCUGUUGGGACCCGAAAGAUGGUGAACUAUGCUUGAAUAGGGUGAAGCCAGAGGAAACUCUGGUGGAGGCUCGCAGCGGUUCUGACGUGCAAAUCGAUCGUCAAAUUUGGGCAUAGGGGCGAAAGACUAAUCGAACUAUCUAGUAGCUGGUUCCUGCCGAAGUUUCCCUCAGGAUAGCAGUAACGUAUUCAGUUUUAUGAGGUAAAGCGAAUGAUUAGAGGCAUGGGGGUUGAAACAACCUUCACCUAUUCUCAAACUUUAAAUAUGUAAGAAGCCCUUUGUUACUUAAUUGAACGCGGGCAUUUGAAUGAAACGUUAUUAGUGGGCCAUUUUUGGUAAGCAGAACUGGCGAUGCGGGAUGAACCGAACGAGGGGUUACGGUGCCGGAGUACACGCUCAUCAGACACCACAAAAGGUGUUGGUUCAUCUAGACAGCAGGACGGUGGCCAUGGAAGUCGGAAUCCGCUAAGGAGUGUGUAACAACUCACCUGCCGAAUGAACUAGCCCUGAAAAUGGAUGGCGCUCAAGCGUGUCACCUAUACCCCUCCGCCGGGGCAAAAUUUACGCCCCGGCGAGUAGGCAGGCGUGGAGGCUCGUGACGAAGCCUUGGGGGUGACCCCAGGUCGAACGGCCUCUAGUGCAGAUCUUGGUGGUAGUAGCAAAUACUCAAAUGAGAACUUUGAGGACUGAAGUGGGGAAAGGUUCCGUGUGAACAGCAGUUGGACACGGGUCAAUCGAUCCUAAGAGAUAGGGUAGUUCCGUUUUAAUGUCGGCGCUUGCGCCGCGCCCUCGAAAGGGAAGCCGGUUAAUAUUCCGGCAUCUGGAUGUGGAUUCUCCGCGGCAACGCAACUGAGAGCGGAGACCUUGGCGGGAGCCCCAAGAAGAGUUCUCUUUUCUUCUUAACGGUCUGUCACCCUGAAAUCGGUUUGUCCGGAGCUAGGGUUCAAUGGCCGGAAGAGCGCUGCACUUUUGCGGCGUUUGGUGCGCUCCCGACGAGCCUUGAAAAUCCGCUUGAAGAAAUAGUUUUCACGCCAGGUCGUACUCAUAACCGCAGCAGGUCUCCAAGGUGAACAGCCUCUAGUU
rnacentral:ncRNA from 1 species